rnacentral:lncRNA from 1 species
UCUAUUCUAUCACAUUGUUUGUAGACGCACUUAACUCAACUCAACUCAACUCAACUCGCCAUAUAAACCAAAACCUCGCCGGAAAAUGAAUUAAACGAAGACGGAGUUCGUAUCAUCACUAACAAUGCUGGUGGAGUUCGUUGUUGGCCGCCGCAAACAUUGAGUAACUCCGUCCAGGUUUUCAUUCUCUCCCUGUUGACUAAAAAUGGAAUCCUUUGAGAGUUUGAGAUUGUUGGUAUUUUUUACUGUUUGUAAAAAUUUAGAUAAAAUUCGGUUUGAUUUGAUUAAAUUUUAGUUAUUAUUAUAAUUUGUCUUGGUGGAAAGUAGUUGGUUAUGUUGAAUUGCAUAAAGUGG